GUGCCAGCCGCCGCGGUAAUACAGAGGUCCCAAGCGUUGUUCGGAUUUACUGGGCGUAAAGGGUGCGUAGGCGGUUGUUUAAGUCUGACGUGAAAUCUCCGGGCCUAACCCGGAAACUGCGUUGGAUACUAUUCAACUAGAGGAAUGGAGGGGAGACUGGAAUACUUGGUGUAGCAGUGAAAUGCGUAGAUAUCAAGUGGAACACCAGUGGCGAAGGCGAGUCUCUGGACAUUUCCUGACGCUGAGGCACGAAAGCCAGGGGAGCAAACGGGAUUAGAUACCCUUGUAGUCC
rnacentral:rRNA from 1 species